rnacentral:rRNA from 1 species
CGGGGACACCCCCGGGAAACUGGGGUUAAUCCCCGAUAGGUGAAGAACUCUGGAAUGAGUCUUUGCCCAAAAGACGCUUACAUUAUGCUUGUGGGCGCCGCCUAAGGAUGGGGCCGCGACCGAUCAGGUUGUUGGUGAGGCAAAGGCUCACCAAGCCUUUUACCGGUGCGGGCCGUGGGAGCGGGAGCCCGGAGAUGGGCACUGAGACAAGGGCCCAGGCCCUACGGGGCGCAGCAGUCGCGAAAACUUUGCAAUACACGAAAGUGUGACAGGGCUAUCCCGAGUGCCAUCCGCUGAGGAAGGCUUUUACCCAGUGUACAAAGCUGGGAGAAUAAGGAGAGGGCAAGACUGGUGUCAGCCGCCGCGGUAAUACCAGCUCUCCGAGUGGUGUGGAUGUUUAUUGGGCCUAAAGCAUCCGUAGCUGGCUGGGCAAGUCCCCUGUAUAAUCCACCGAUUC